rnacentral:pre_miRNA from 1 species
CAAGUACUCCCUCCGUCCGAAAAUACUUGUCAUCAAAAUGGAUAAAAGGGAUGUAUCUAGAACUAAAAUAUGUCUAGAUACAUCCCCUUUUAUUCAUCUUGAUGACAAGUAUUUCCGGACGGAGGGAGUACUAA